rnacentral:rRNA from 1 species
AUACGAAAGGUGCAAGCGUUGUUCGGAUUUACUGGGCGUAAAGAGAUCGUAGGUGGUUUGUUAAGUUGGAUGUGAAAUCCCGGGGCUCAACCUCGGAACUGCAUCCAAAACUGGCAGACUUGAGUUCGGGAGGGGUAAGCGGAAUUCCGUGUGUAGCAGUGAAAUGCGUAGAUAUACGGAGGAACACCUGAGGCGAGGCGGCUUACUGGACCGAUACUGACACUGAGGAUCGAAAGCGUGGGUAGCAAACAGGAUUAGAAACCCUAGUAGUCC